CCUACAUGAAGCUGGAGUUACUAGUAAUCGCGAAUCAGAAUGUCGCGGUGAAUACGUUCCCGGGUCUUGUACACACCGCCCGUCACACCAUGAGAGUUGGCAAUACCCGAAGUCCGUGAGCUAACCGCAAGGAGGCAGCGGCCGAAGGUAGGGUCAGCGAUUGGGGUGAAGUCGUAACAAGGUAGCCGUAGGAGAACCUGCGGCUGGAUCACCUCCUUUCUAAGGAA
rnacentral:rRNA from 1 species